GACGAACGCUGGCGGCGUGCUUAACACAUGCCAGUCGAACGGAAAGGCCCUGCUUUUGUGGGGUGCUCGAGUGGCGAACGGGUGAGUAACACGUGAGUAACCUGCCCUUGACUUUGGGAUAACUUCAGGAAACUGGGGCUAAUACCGGAUAGGAGCUCCUGCUGCAUGGUGGGGGUUGGAAAGUUUCGGCGGUUGGGGAUGGACUCGCGGCUUAUCAGCUUGUUGGUGGGGUAGUGGCUUACCAAGGCUUUGACGGGUAGCCGGCAUGAGAGGGUGACCGGGGACAUGGGGACUGAGAGAGGGCGCAGAGGGCAACGGGAGGCAGCAGGGGGGAAUAUUGCACAAUGGGAGGAAGCGUGAGGAAGCAACGCCGGGGGCGGGAUGACGGCCUGGGGGGUGUAAAACGCUUUCGCCUGAGACGAAGCGUGAGUGACGGUAAUGGGAAAAGAAGCACCGGCUAACUACGUG
rnacentral:rRNA from 1 species